rnacentral:ncRNA from 1 species
UCAAUUGUUCGCGCUUUCGGCGCGAUGAUAUAGUCCGAACUCACUGGCGACAGUGAGAAUCAACCAGAAAUGUGUUGAUCCAGAAACAGUUGGUCAAUUGUCAUAAGUCAUAUGUCGAUUGUCCAAUUUUGUUACUGUGUAACAAAAUUGUAGAUACCCUUGUAGUCCACGCCCUAAACGAUGCCUGUUUGCUGUUUCGAGUAUCGACCCUCGGAGCGGCGGAGCUAACGCGUUAAACAGGCCGCCUGGGAAGUACGAGCGCAAGCUUAAAACUCAAAGGAAUAGACGGGGACUCGCACAAGCGGUGGAACAUGAGGUUUAAUUCGACAGUAAGCGAAGAACCUUACCAGGGCUUGAAAUACUUCUGGAAAGCCGCCGGAAACGGUGGCCCUCUCUCAAGGACCGGAAGCACAGGUGCUGCAUGGUUGUCGUCAGCUCGUGUUUUGAAAUGUUCCCUUAAGUGGGGUAACGAGCGCAACCCUUACUGCGUGUUACAAGUGUCACGCGGAACUGCCCCCGCUUUUGCCUAGAAGGCAAAAGCGGACAAACGACUUACGAUUAAUGAUUUUUUUGUUAGUCAUAAGUUAUACGUUCGCUUUUGACCUUGCGGUCAAAAGCGGGGGAGGAAGGAGAGGAUGACGUCAAAUCAGCAUGGCCCUCUGAUGCCCUGGGCUACACUCGUGUUACAAUGGCCGGGACAAUGGGUUGCCAAGCCGCAAGGCGGAGCUAAUCCCACAAACCUGGUCUCAGUUCGGAUUGAGGGCUGCAACUUGCCCUCAUGAAGCCGGAAUCGCUAGUAAUCGCAGGUCAGCUACACUGCGGUGAAUACGUUCUCGAGUCCUGUACUCACAAUAAAAGCGCGCAGCAGUUUAGUUCUCUAAGCGGUUUAAAUCCGCUUCUCUCCUUC